rnacentral:rRNA from 1 species
CUUCCGUAGGGGUGACCUGCGGAAGGAUCAUUACAGAGUUCAUGCCCGAAAGGGUAGACCUCCCACCCUUGUGUAUUAUUACUUUGUUGCUUUGGCGAGCUGCCUUCGGGCCUUGUAUGCUCGCCAGAGAAUACCAAAACUCUUUUUAUUAAUGUCGUCUGAGUACUAUAUAAUAGUUAAAACUUUCAACAACGGAUCUCUUGGUUCUGGCAUCGAUGAAGAACGCAGCGAAAUGCGAUAAGUAAUGUGAAUUGCAGAAUUCAGUGAAUCAUCGAAUCUUUGAACGCACAUUGCGCCCCUUGGUAUUCCGGGGGGCAUGCCUGUUCGAGCGUCAUUUCAACCCUCAAGCUUAGCUUGGUAUUGAGUCUAUGUCAGUAAUGGCAGGCUCUAAAAUCAGUGGCGGCGCCGCUGGGUCCUGAACGUAGUAAUAUCUCUCGUUACAGGUUCUCGGUGUGCUUCUGCCAAAACCCAAAUUUUUCUAUGGUUGACCUCGGAUCAGGUAGGGAUACCCGCUGAACUUAAGCAUAUCAAUAAGCGGAGGAAA